ACAGCCUUUUAUAUUAUAUAUAUUUUUCUUUUGUCAUUUUUACAACUUUUUUUGAUAUACAGAUAUUUUAAAGUUUUAUGUGUCAAAUCAGUCUGUUUCUCCUUUAUGGUUUCUUCCUUUGCUUUUAUGUUUAGAUAUUCUUCCCUACCCUACACACCACAAGUUAUAUUUUCUUCUGGUUCUUUUAUAGUUUAUGUUGUAAUUCAAAGUAAAUUGGGGAUAUGCAGAAAUGGGAAAGACUUCCUUGCACAUUUUCCUGGUUUGGAAACAUGCUUCUCAUUCACCCCUAGGAGGAUAACUUGGAUGAAUACAAGGAGCUGUCAACAGGGGUCGCAGGAGCCACAGGUUUGAUCCUUGGGUCAGGAAGACCUGCUGGAGGAGGGCCUGGCAACGCACUGCAGUAUUCUUGGCUGGAGAAUCCCAUGGACAGACGAGACUGGCGGGCUGCUGUCCUCAGGGUCUCAAAGAGGCGGACAUGACUGAAGUGACUUAGUCCACGGCACAGGAGUAAAUAGUUUGCUCAUAAGAAAGAAAAGGUGUAUCAGGACUCCACGCUGACCAGGCUGUGACUCCAGAGAGAAUAGAAUCUAGAGAAUAGAGUCAUUAUGUACAUGGUUCUGUGGUUACACUUCUAGAAUUAGAUCCAAGCUCUUCUAGUUACCUUGUGUGACCCAGGAGAAGUAAUCUAACCCCUCUGUGUCUGACUUUUCUCAUCAUUAAAAUGAGAGUAAUAAUGGUAACUACCUGCAGGGUUAGUUGUAAGGUUAAUUCAAACAGUGCUUGAUAUGUAAUAAGUGACAGUGAAUGCGAACUGUAAAUUUUAACGUUUGAAGAUGCACUAAGAAGGUUAAGAAUAUCCUGAAAGAUUACUAUUCUGCUGCCUGCCAUUCCAUCUGAGAGCUUAA